AUGAACGCUAGCGACAGGCUUAACACAUGCAAGUCGAGGGGCAGCGGGGGUAGCAAUACCCGCCGGCGACCGGCGCACGGGUGAGUAACGCGUAUGCAACUUACCUAUCAGAGGGGGAUAACCCGGCGAAAGUCGGACUAAUACCGCAUGAAGCAGGGGCCCCGCAUGGGGAUAUUUGCUAAAGAUUCAUCGCUGAUAGAUAGGCAUGCGUUCCAUUAGGCAGUUGGCGGGGUAACGGCCCACCAAACCGACGAUGGAUAGGGGUUCUGAGAGGAAGGUCCCCCACAUUGGUACUGAGACACGGACCAAACUCCUACGGGAGGCAGCAGUGAGGAAUAUUGGUCAAUGGCCGAGAGGCUGAACCAGCCAAGUCGCGUGAGGGAUGAAGGUUCUAUGGAUCGUAAACCUCUUUUAUAAGGGAAUAAAGUGCGGGACGUGUCCCGUUUUGUAUGUACCUUAUGAAUAAGGAUCGGCUAACUCCGUGCCAGCAGCCGCGGUAAUACGGAGGAUCCGAGCGUUAUCCGGAUUUAUUGGGUUUAAAGGGUGCGUAGGCGGCCUUUUAAGUCAGCGGUGAAAGUCUGUGGCUCAACCAUAGAAUUGCCGUUGAAACUGGGGGGCUUGAGUAUGUUUGAGGCAGGCGGAAUGCGUGGUGUAGCGGUGAAAUGCAUAGAUAUCACGCAGAACCCCGAUUGCGAAGGCAGCCUGCCAAGCCAUUACUGACGCUGAUGCACGAAAGCGUGGGGAUCAAACAGGAUUAGAUACCCUGGUAGUCCACGCAGUAAACGAUGAUCACUAGCUGUUUGCGAUACACUGUAAGCGGCACAGCGAAAGCGUUAAGUGAUCCACCUGGGGUUUACUCCGGCAACGGUGAAACUCAAAGGAAUUGACGGGGGCCCGCACAAGCGGAGGAACAUGUGGUUUAAUUCGAUGAUACGCGAGGAACCUUACCCGGGUUUGAACGCAUUCGGACCGAGGUGGAAACACCUUUUCUAGCAAUAGCCGUUUGCGAGGUGCUGCAUGGUUGUCGUCAGCUCGUGCCGUGAGGUGUCGGCUUAAGUGCCAUAACGAGCGCAACCCUUGCCACUAGUUACUAACAGGUAAAGCUGAGGACUCUGGUGGGACUGCCAGCGUAAGCUGCGAGGAAGGCGGGGAUGACGUCAAAUCAGCACGGCCCUUACAUCCGGGGCGACACACGUGUUACAAUGGCGUGGACAAAGGGAGGCCACCUGGCGACAGGGAGCGAAUCCCCAAACCACGUCUCAGUUCGGAUCGGAGUCUGCAACCCGACUCCGUGAAGCUGGAUUCGCUAGUAAUCGCGCAUCAGCCAUGGCGCGGUGAAUACGUUCCCGGGCCUUGUACACACCGCCCGUCAAGCCAUGGGAGCCGGGGGUACCUGAAGUCCGUAACCGAAAGGAUCGGCCUAGGGUAAAACUGGUGACUGGGGCU
rnacentral:rRNA from 1 species